AUUGAACGCUGGCGGCAGGCCUAACACAUGCAAGUCGAACGGUAACAGGAAGAAGCUUGCUUCUUUGCUGACGAGUGGCGGACGGGUGAGUAAUGUCUGGGAAACUGCCUGAUGGAGGGGGAUAACUACUGGAAACGGUAGCUAAUACCGCAUAACGUCGCAAGACCAAAGAGGGGGACCUUCGGGCCUCUUGCCUUCGGCUGUGCCCAGAUGGGAUUAGCUAGUAGGUGGGGUAACGGCUCACCUAGGCGACGAUCCCUAGCUGGUCUGAGAGGAUGACCAGCCACACUGGAACUGAGACACGGUCCAGACUCCUACGGGAGGCAGCAGUGGGGAAUAUUGCACAAUGGGCGCAAGCCUGAUGCAGCCAUGCCGCGUGAAUGAAGAAGGCCUUCGGGUUGUAAAGUACUUUCAGCGGGGAGGAAGGGAGUAAAGUUAAUACCUUUGCUCAUUGACGUUACCCGCAGAAGAAGCACCGGCUAACUCCGUG
rnacentral:rRNA from 1 species